AGGAGGAAAUCCUACAUGUCUGCUCCCGGAGCUGCCACAACCCAUCUUCCCACAACUCGGAACUUGGAAAAAGGAACCCAGGACACGACUUUGCUUUUCUUUUGGACCUAGUUGAAGUCACAGCUUGGAGGAAACCAGUUUGCACUGUUUGAGGAGGAAUUUGGCCACCAAACCACUGAUACUUUCCCAAAGAUACAAGUUAACAGGAUAUGCUUCUGGCCUGUUUCUGGAUUCUAAGGGUAGAACCAGCAUAAAACUAGUCAGUCCAAGUAUUUCUAAAGAUCCACAGACACAGUUCUCCUGGAUUUGGGAAGCCUAGAGAUAUUAGCACAAUAAUUAAGGCCCAACAACUUUUAAAAGCCUUUCCACUGCACAGUGAAAGAAAACCACAAACUCCUUGUUUAAUAAGUGGGAUCAUGUGCUUUUAACAAGAGGAAAAGGUCAAUCUGAAGCAACUGAUAUGGAACUGCCAGAGUAGGAGUUGAAAAUCUUCCUAAACUGCUGGAGGAUACACCUCUGAUAGCUUGAGACAAAUAUCCUCUUGAUCAUUGUUUCACCAUAUUUGUCUUUGCUCAUGGAGAACCAUUUUGAUCCGUGGUUUAGCCUCCCAGGUGAUUGAACAAUACUGGUGAUCUGAGGCAGACCCUCUGUGACAGAUAAC
rnacentral:lncRNA from 1 species